UGAACCAACACAGCUGAUUUAAAUGGCUAAAUUAGCUCCUCAACAUGUCCUGAAGUUCUCCAGAGGCCUGGUAACGAACUAAUCAUGAGAUUCAGGUGUGUUGACCCAAGGUGAGAUCUAAAACCUGCAGGGACACUGGCCCUCGUGGACUCAGAUUGCCUGAACAUUGCACUCACUCUGACCUCAGUUUAAAAGGCCCUCAGCAGUCAAUGGUUUGGUCAAGAAUGUGUUGAGACUGACCAACAGGUCUUUAAAAGAGCUUCAGCUCUCCCUGCAAAGACCUGAUAGAAACUCUUAAAACAUUACACUGAUGUCUCUUUCCAUUGAUGAUUUUUUGUGAUUUUGUUGUUCUAUGUAAAGAACAAAGUAUUUAAAAAGAACAUUUUAAUAAUUCACAUCUGGGGUCUCAUCUUUUUGUGUUACCUUUUUUUUUUUUUUUUUUUUUUUGGAGCAGUCUAUAUUCACAUUAGUUUUGGGAGGGUUGUUUUCUUAAAGCCUACUUUUUUUUUUUGGUCAAUUUCUUUGUUUCUCUCCACAGCACCUCACAAGUAAGGCACACACCCUCACCAAGAGCUGCUCUACAGUCACAGACUCUGGUCAGGAGAAGAGAUUUUCCAGUGCCUACUCUCCUGGGUUCAGUGGGUGAAGUGGAACAGUCUGUGAAGCUGCAAAAAUGGCAGACUGGAAGACUCUGAUGGCUUUCAUCAAUCUGAAUCUCUCAGAAUCUCAACAGUUAUGUACUCAGCAUUGUUGCCCAGUGAGCAAUGUUCAAGUGAAAUCUGGUGGCAAAUUGUAGGAAUGCAGCCAAAAUGCCUGUGACUAGUGCCAAAGCAUAACAGUAAAUAUUCUGACCCAUGUGGUCAGUUAAAGAGGGUGGGGGAGUAAAGAAAGGCCACUUCCUCCCUUGUGUUGGUGUAGCUGAAGUUGUAGAAGUUAAAUAUUGCACAGUGCUGUCAAUAUUUUCUCCUCUUGCCUUUGGUGCAGUUUAUCCAUCUAGAUUAUUUUGGUAUGGACAACCCACUUUUGUAGUUUUCUCUGAGCUCUGUGUCUCUGAAAAGUAAUGUUUCCAUCCUAAAGAAAUCCAGACUGUGUUACAGAUCUACUGACCUUGUAGGAAUUCUUUUCUUUCCUCUGAACUACAUCUGCUAACCAUAUCAGUGUCCUGGAGGAAGCACGUAAAGGCUUUGAACAAGAAGCUUGACUUCAUGACAGGCUUCAUGCUUCUUUGUAGUUGGCAGGUGUAGACACUGCACCAGAUUUCUGAGUUUCAACAAAUUCAUAUACCAGAUGUUUGGCUGGUCGAUGCCACCAGGCAACGGACAUUAUGAAUUCAACCCUGUUGUUUUAAACACUGGUAUGAAUGUAAACAACUCCAGAGUUGACAACACAAGUUUUGAAGGAGCAAAUUAGAGCCUUGACAGCAGCUAAUGUUCCUUUAAUUACAAAUAUUUUAAUGUAUAUCAGCUUUUUUUGUAUUAAGUUUUAAUCUUCUUGUCUUCAUGUAGCUCAACAUAUCAGUCUCCAAUUGGGGUGAACUUUUGGCCCUUUAUUUUUAACCGUUUGAUUAGAAAUAUUUGAAUUCAGUCUACUCUGGCUAUUUUAAAUACAGUUUGUUCGAUCCAAAAUACCUACUGGGAGACAGAACAUCAUCGAAGUUUUCUAUAUAAUAAGAGAUGAAUUAAUGAAAAUGUGUUUUAUUUCAGGUUGUAGCUUCCAGUAUUUGUAAAAAAUAAUAUACAUAAAGAAUAUUAUCUGCCUUGUGUAUGAGAAACUAUAAAUAAAAUAUUUGUUUCACCUAUUCAAAACUGAAUUUUCUACAUGUCUCCAAACCUUCUUCAGAGAUUGAACAUUAGGGAUGGGUAUCAAAAACUGGUUCUUGUUGAGAACCGGUUCCCACUGUUUCAAUUGUUUGCCAUUUUUGCAAACGAUUUCCUUAAUGAUUCCAGUCGCCCCGAAUGACGUCACC
ensembl:lncRNA